UACAGAGGUCCCAAGCGUUGUUCGGAUUCACUGGGCGUAAAGGGUGCGUAGGCGGUCGGGUAAGUCUGAUGUGAAAUCUCACAGCUUAACCGUGAAACUGCAUUGGAUACUAUCCGGCUAGAGGAAUGGAGGGGAGACUGGAAUACUUGGUGUAGCAGUGAAAUGCGUAGAUAUCAAGUGGAACACCAGUGGCGAAGGCGAGUCUCUGGACAUUUCCUGACGCUGAGGCACGAAAGCCAGGGGAGCAAACGGG
rnacentral:rRNA from 1 species